AAGAAAUUUUAUGUAAAUUGGGAGUCAGAGUUUGAUCCAUUAAGCCUGCCCCGUAACAAUAAUGUUGAUACCCUCAAGUUAUAUGAAGAUCAACUACAAGAGUUGAAGGACAAACUUACUAAGAAGAGAAAGAUACUGAGGGAUUGGAAAUACCCAGAAAAUGUUGAGGACCUAAACCAAAUAAAGUUUAUGGAGGAUCAUCUCAUUGCAUCUCU